AUUCAAUCGUGGGAAAACCUACAACUGACUUAAUCCCACAAAGAGGAGCAAGAGUGGAAGUCAACUCCUAGAGUAUCAUGAGGGCUGAAUCAGCGAAUCCAUUUAAAAGCACUUAGAGCUUCUCCAGGUCAGAGACUGGGCAUCCACCCUCUGACACCACUGCCUGGUGCCUGAGUCACCGCCUGGCUGAGUGCACGGAUACAUGGAUAAUUGAUGCCUUUCUAACUCGAUGGGAUUGCCCCUAUACCAUGCGGUGGACAAGAAUGUGUGGUCGGACAGGGAACAAUGACUUACUGUCCGUCGGUGUUGGCAAAGGUGUAGUUCCACUGGCCAAGAGAAUCACGACAUACUGGCCCUUCGGCUAAGCCCAGGGCUGCCACGAUGACGCAGUAGCCAGAUCCUGCAAUCCCAAUGAGGGCCGCCAGGACGGAAGAAAGCAUCUAGGGAAAGGAGAGACGGCAGAAGUGAGCCGGAGCGUCGCACCUGCCUCCCAGGGACCCCUUUCACCACCCGAGCUGGAGCACCUACCGCGCAUCUCUUGCCACAGUUUUCGUGGCCACAGCAGCCACAACAGUCGUCCUGCUCCAACCCAAUGAAUACGAAUGCCGGCAGGAACAUC